ensembl:snoRNA SNORA70 Small nucleolar RNA SNORA70
CUGUAGCUAAUUCAGCUAACCAUGCUCUUUUCCUCAUGGGGAGCCUAGUGUGCAAUGGCUGCAAACUAUAGCCUCCUUGGUAGUGUAUGCAGCCUGUUGUUUAUAUGAUUGUUCUAAGGGACCUUGGAGACAUUC